rfam:Ipomoea nil DNA, scaffold: scaffold2801, cultivar: Tokyo-kokei standard.
GGGGAUGUAGCUCAGAUGGUAGAGCGCUCGCUUCGCAUGCGAGUGGUAGGGAAAUGAUACCCCGCAUCUCCA